GGGUUGUGAGGUUAAGCGACUAAGCGUACACGGUGGAUGCCCUGGCAGUCAGAGGCGAUGAAGGGCGUGCUAAUCUGCGAUAAGCGCCGGUAAGGUGAUAUGAACCGUUAUAACCGGCGAUACCCGAAUGGGGAAACCCAGUGUGAUUCGUCACACUAUCAUUAACUGAAUCCAUAGGUUAAUGAGGCGAACCGGGGGAACUGAAACAUCUAAGUACCCCGAGGAAAAGAAAUCAACCGAGAUUCCCCCAGUAGCGGCGAGCGAACGGGGAGGAGCCCAGAGCCUGAAUCAGCAUGUGUGUUAGUGGAAGCGUCUGGAAAGGCGCGCGAUACAGGGUGACAGCCCCGUACACAAAAGCGCAUGUGCUGUGAGCUCGAUGAGUAGGGCGGGACACGUGGUAUCCUGUCUGAAUAUGGGGGGACCAUCCUCCAAGGCUAAAUACUCCUGACUGACCGAUAGUGAACCAGUACCGUGAGGGAAAGGCGAAAAGAACCCCGGCGAGGGGAGUGAAAAAGAACCUGAAACCGUGUACGUACAAGCAGUGGGAGCCCCACCACUAAGCCAGUGGUGAACUCCACAUACGCAUCCUUUGCUGAGGAUACGGUUAGCGGAGCGAAAGCGACGUUCAACCGCAAAACAAGCAGAGGGGGCUUAGUGGUGGGGUGACUGCGUACCUUUUGUAUAAUGGGUCAGCGACUUAUAUUCUGUAGCAAGGUUAACCGAAUAGGGGAGCCGUAGGGAAACCGAGUCUUAACCGGGCGUUAAGUUGCAGGGUAUAGACCCGAAACCCGGUGAUCUAGCCAUGGGCAGGUUGAAGGUUGGGUAACACUAACUGGAGGACCGAACCGACUAAUGUUGAAAAAUUAGCGGAUGACCUGUGGCUGGGGGUGAAAGGCCAAUCAAACCGGGAGAUAGCUGGUUCUCCCCGAAAGCUAUUUAGGUAGCGCCUCGUGAAUUCAUCUCCGGGGGUAGAGCACUGUUUCGGCUAGGGGGCCAUCCCGGCUUACCAACCCGAUGCAAACUGCGAAUACCGGAGAAUGUUAUCACGGGAGACACACGGCGGGUGCUAACGUCCGUCGUGAAGAGGGAAACAACCCAGACCGCCAGCUAAGGUCCCAAAGUCAUGGUUAAGUGGGAAACGAUGUGGGAAGGCCCAGACAGCCAGGAUGUUGGCUUAGAAGCAGCCAUCAUUUAAAGAAAGCGUAAUAGCUCACUGGUCGAGUCGGCCUGCGCGGAAGAUGUAACGGGGCUAAACCAUGCACCGAAGCUGCGGCAGCGAACGUAUCACUUAAAGCGAUUCAGCGGGUUACGAUUGACGGAGCGAAGCGACGUCAAAGCGUAUACAAAGUCGAGUCGGUUUAAGGAUACGUUCGUUGGGUAGGGGAGCGUUCUGUAAGCCUGCGAAGGUGGCCUGUGAGGGUUGCUGGAGGUAUAAGAAGUGCGAAUGCUGACAUAAGUAACGAUAAAGCGGGUGAAAAGCCCGCUCGCCGGAAGACCAAGGGUUCCUGUCCAACGUUAAUCGGGGCAGGGUGAGUCGACCCCUAAGGCGAGGCCGAAAGGCGUAGUCGAUGGGAAACGGGUUAAUAUUCCCGUACUUGGUGUUACUGCGAAGGGGGGACGGAGAAGGCUAUGUUGGCCGGGCGACGGUUGUCCCGGUUUAAGCGUGUAGGUGUGUGUUCCAGGUAAAUCCGGUUCACUUUAACACUGAGGCGUGACGACGAGGCACUACGGUGCUGAAGCAACAAAUGCCCUGCUUCCAGGAAAAGCCUCUAAGCAUCAGGUAACAUCAAAUCGUACCCCAAACCGACACAGGUGGUCAGGUAGAGAAUACCAAGGCGCUUGAGAGAACUCGGGUGAAGGAACUAGGCAAAAUGGUGCCGUAACUUCGGGAGAAGGCACGCUGAUAUGUAGGUGAAGCGGUUUACCCGUGGAGCUGAAAUCAGUCGAAGAUACCAGCUGGCUGCAACUGUUUAUUAAAAACACAGCACUGUGCAAACACGAAAGUGGACGUAUACGGUGUGACGCCUGCCCGGUGCCGGAAGGUUAAUUGAUGGGGUCAGCGCAAGCGAAGCUCCUGAUCGAAGCCCCGGUAAACGGCGGCCGUAACUAUAACGGUCCUAAGGUAGCGAAAUUCCUUGUCGGGUAAGUUCCGACCUGCACGAAUGGCGUAAUGAUGGCCAGGCUGUCUCCACCCGAGACUCAGUGAAAUUGAACUCGCUGUGAAGAUGCAGUGUACCCGCGGCAAGACGGAAAGACCCCGUGAACCUUUACUAUAGCUUGACACUGAACAUUGAGCCUUGAUGUGUAGGAUAGGUGGGAGGCUUUGAAGCGUGGACGCCAGUCUGCGUGGAGCCGACCUUGAAAUACCACCCUUUAAUGUUUGAUGUUCUAACGUGGACCCGUGAUCCGGGUUGCGGACAGUGUCUGGUGGGUAGUUUGACUGGGGCGGUCUCCUCCUAAAGAGUAACGGAGGAGCACGAAGGUUGGCUAAUCCUGGUCGGACAUCAGGAGGUUAGUGCAAUGGCAUAAGCCAGCUUGACUGCGAGCGUGACGGCGCGAGCAGGUGCGAAAGCAGGUCAUAGUGAUCCGGUGGUUCUGAAUGGAAGGGCCAUCGCUCAACGGAUAAAAGGUACUCCGGGGAUAACAGGCUGAUACCGCCCAAGAGUUCAUAUCGACGGCGGUGUUUGGCACCUCGAUGUCGGCUCAUCACAUCCUGGGGCUGAAGUAGGUCCCAAGGGUAUGGCUGUUCGCCAUUUAAAGUGGUACGCGAGCUGGGUUUAGAACGUCGUGAGACAGUUCGGUCCCUAUCUGCCGUGGGCGCUGGAGAACUGAGGGGGGCUGCUCCUAGUACGAGAGGACCGGAGUGGACGCAUCACUGGUGUUCGGGUUGUCAUGCCAAUGGCACUGCCCGGUAGCUAAAUGCGGAAGAGAUAAGUGCUGAAAGCAUCUAAGCACGAAACUUGCCCCGAGAUGAGUUCUCCCUGAGACUUAGAGUCUCCUGAAGGAACGUUGAAGACGACGACGUUGAUAGGCCGGGUGUGUAAGCGCAGCGAUGCGUUGAGCUAACCGGUACUAAUGAACCGUGAGGCUUAACCUUACAACGCCGAAG
rnacentral:rRNA from 1 species